rnacentral:lncRNA from 1 species
CUUUAGACUGUUGUACGGUCACAUUGGAUUUGAAAGCAACAUCCUUUCUUCCAUACAUCCACGCUACCUGAAAGACGACAGCUUCCUGAAUCCAACGAUACCAGUUAUGUGAACAUCGGACCUCCGCUUCAAAAGAUACGGCCAGAUACUACAAAAAUACUACAUUUGAAAAAGGAUUCUUGAAAGUGCAGUACCUUUGUGUGACCACAAG